CCAGACUCCUACGGGAGGCAGCAGUGGGGAAUAUUGCACAAUGGGGGGAACCCUGAUGCAGCGACGCCGCGUGGGUGAAGAAGUCAUUCGUGACGUAAAGCCCUAUCAGCAGGGAAGAAAAUGACGGUACCUGACUAAGAAGCCCCGGCUAACUACGUGCCAGCAGCCGCGGUAAUACGUAGGGGGCGAGCGUUAUCCGGAUUCACUGGGUGUAAAGGGAGCGUAGACGGCCAUGCAAGCCAGGGGUGAAAGCCCGGGGCCCAACCCCGGGACUGCAUUGGAAACUGCCGGGCUGGAGUGCCGGAGGGGUAAGCGGAAUUCCUGGUGUAGCGGUGAAAUGCGCAGAUAUCAGGAAGAACACCGGUGGCGUAGGCGGCUUACUGGACGGCAACUGACGCUGAGGCUCGAAAGCGUGGGGAGCAAACAGGAUUAGAUACCCCUGUA
rnacentral:rRNA from 1 species